CAAAUCUUUUUUCUUCUUUUCUGUUUUCUUUUCUUUCCUUUUUUUUUGAGAUGGCGGCGUUUCACUCUGUUGCCCAGGCUGGAGUGCAGUGGCACAUGUACUUAGCUGAUGAAUUCUAGAAUGAGUUCAAGCGUGGCUAAAAAAUGCUUGAAGAUAAUUUCAGGUUCUCUGCAGCCCAAUGUUUCAUUUACCUUCCAAACAGAAAGCUCCUCCUCCCUGCACAUGCUCUGUGUUGCCCCCUUGCCUUGCCCGUGAGCAGAU
rnacentral:lncRNA from 1 species